rnacentral:RNase_P_RNA from 13 species
CAACUUCUUGGAGAUGAUAAUCUCCCCAACAGAAUUGGGAGAGAGAGAGAAAGAGAGAGAGACGAGCGAAAAGGAAAAGAGAAAUCAUCUUCGUUUGUUGGAUUUUUUUUCUUUUCCUCUUUUUGAAAUACUUUCUCUUCCUUAUCUCC